UGGGGAAUAUUGGACAAUGGGGGAAACCCUGAUCCAGCGAUGCCGCGUGAAUGAUGAAGGUCUUAGGAUUGUAAAAUUCUUUCACCGGGGACGAUAAUGACGGUACCCGGAGAAGAAGCCCCGGCUAACUUCGUGCCAGCAGCCGCGGUAAUACGAAGGGGGCUAGCGUUGCUCGGAAUUACUGGGCGUAAAGGGAGCGUAGGCGGACAUUUAAGUCAGGGGUGAAAUCCCGGGGCUCAACCUCGGAAUUGCCUUUGAUACUGGGUGUCUUGAGUGUGAGAGAGGUAUGUGGAACUCCGGGUGUAGAGGUGAAAUUCGUAGAUAUUCGGAAGAGCACCAGUGGCGAAGGCGACAUACUGGCUCAUUACUGACGCGGAGGCUCGAAAGAGUGGAGAGCAAACA
rnacentral:rRNA from 1 species